rnacentral:lncRNA from 1 species
UUUGUAACAUUUUAUUUUUUGUCAAUAUACAGAUGAUAACGGUCUCUAUAGAACUUUCAGAGUCAUGUCUCACUAAUGAAAGUUCUAAACUUAUACAAUAAAACCAUGUAACAGGUGAAAGGAUCAUAAUAUAUCACUAAUAAUAGGUAUGGAUGUUAUACUCUCCAAACAUAACAAAUAGGAACAAAAGGAGAUGUGGGGGAAACUCGAAAACUUCACAGCAAAUAAAUCAAUUUAAGGGUUUCAAUUAAUGUAAUUUGAGUUUAAUUUAUUUUUGUUAGCUAUAAUGUUUUAGAGCUAUUCACACAAAUUCAACUUGUUAAAACUAUCUUAAGUCUUAAAAAAUAAUUGUUCAGCUUUUUCAAACUCAUACUUUUUUCAUUAGACUGGGUUGUUCCAUGUUCAAACUUGGUUAAACAAUUUUAAAAGUCUGCCAUCAAACAUGGUGGCAAAACGAAAUAACUCACAAAUCAAAUUACAUAAAUGGAAAACAAUGUGUUUUGCUUUACUGGAGUUUUUUUAACUGGUAUAACUUAAUCGUUUUAAAAGAGGGAGGGACUUUGAAAUCAGACCAAUUUUAGAAAUUCAACCACCAUGCCGAUCAAUCAUGUUCUCUACUUACUUUCUUAUAUGACAUAUUGACCAAUGAGAAAUUCCAAUUACAACUACACUUUUGAAUUAGUCCAUCAUUAUAAAACAUGUUUGCAAAAUUCAUUUGAUAAUGACAAAUAUUUUCUGGCAUCAACUUCAAGUUGAAUUUUUCUGUGUAAUCUUGAUUUCCUCAGUAAUAUAUAUGUUUUUAUUUGUAACCGUCAAAUCAAAGACUGAUGCCACCAUGAACUUGCAUAUAAUACAAUUAUUUCCUAAUUAAUACACACAUAAAAUAUAUACAUCUUUUUAAUUGUAAAUGCAUAGUGACAGUAAUAUGAGAAAAUACUGUAUAGGUGUUGUACUUUUAUAAUAAGCAAUAAAAAAACAAUAAAAAAUGAUACACAUGCAUAUUUUCUAAAAUUAAGCUUAGUAACAUGAGAAGUUAUAUAGUGAUAACUUGAUUUUUUAUCUUGGCAGACUAGUUGAGUGAUAAGAUACAUAAUGAAUUUGAAAAAUUACAAUGAAGAAUCUAAUGAAAGCUUCAAUGAGUUGAGCUUUUUGCAUACAUUUGACAUGAAAAUGAAUCAACAUCAAUUAAGAUAUAUUAUACAUAUUAAUACAUUUAAACAUUUUUUUUAUAUUUCAAGUACAAAUGUAUUAAAGUAUAUAAAUUUGCUGUAACUGUAAAUGGAUCAUAUUCACAGAGUUUAAAUUCAUUAUUUCUAUAAUUGGAGGUUUUCUGGUAAUCCAUGAUAGGGAUCAUCUUAAAAUAUCAAAUUUAAAUGAUGAGACAUUUUUCAUGAUUUUAUCCCAUUAUCAAAAUCUUUAAAUUUUUACCCACUUUUCAGUAUACAUAUGCAUAAGGUGAUUCAGGUGUCUGGAUGAUUUUAAGUUUAUGCUGAGAUUUUAUUUAUGUAAACCUCAAUUCCUAUAUUUUUGUUUACUGUAAGUUUGUUCAUUUAGUAAAAUAAUAAUAACAUAAUAAGAAACAAUCAUACUGUAAUUAAUACUUUUGCUGAUAAAGUGAAAGUUAUCUUUGUUUAUACAUGUUAUAUGAUAUUACCAAUAGAAAAUAUGCAAAAAAACAAUUUAAUAAACAUCUGUGCAAAAUAAAUCAAUAUCAAAUUAUGAAAUAGUUAACGUCUUACAUUUAGGAGAUAACUGUAUUGUAUUUUAAGCUCCGACGGCAUCAAUUGGGGAUUUGAUGGCUGCAAAUUAAGUUUACUGGCGAUGCGUUAGCAAAAUUGUUAUCCCAAAUUGAUGCCAUCGGAGCUUAAAAUACAAUAUUGUUAUCUCCAUUCUAAUUAAACUGACAGAAAACAACGUUAAAACAUGUAUUUAAAAUCUUUCAUAUGCCGUCUGCGCUUGCGCGUACGUCCCAUAGCAUCAAUUGUCAAUUGAUGCCAUGUAAGAAAGUGACGUUUUCCAAUCAAAAUGAACGUUACAAACGUUGUUGCAUUAGAAUUCAUGAUGACAGUCUGUUUUAUAAAUGCUUCAAAUAAGAAUUUUGUUUUAACCUAUGUAACAUGCAUAACAAAAUAUUGAUGGUUACUAUUCAAAUAUCAUUAAAUAACAUUAUGACAAAAAAAAACAAUUUACUGAAAUCAGGUUUCCCUCCAUACAAUGUACCUUACAGUGUUAAAUACUGAAGACCAUAACACUCCCUUGAAGUGAAAUGGAUGCUCCAUUAUAACAUCCUUAAGAGGUUUAUAGAAUAUAAGCUUGUCUGUCAUCAGUAUUCAUACUUUUGAAUUUUGACUUGCAUACAUGUAUAGGCAUCAGGGCUUAUAUAUUAUUCAACAUUUUGAGAUUUUAUUUUUAAAAUUCAAAAGCUUUACCCGUAAAGAUAUUUUUCUACAAAAUGUAUUUACUUCAGAAGUAAAUGUGUAGAAAAAAAGUCUUCUUGGGCAAUGUCCU